GGAGCAGAUGGGUGCUGGUGUGCCUUCCGGUCUUCAAAACCGGUACGGACGGCGAACAACCGCCUGGGUGGGUUCGAUUCCCACAUGCCCC
rnacentral:tRNA from 1 species